rnacentral:lncRNA from 1 species
UGGACUCUGCCAGAUUGAGAAAAUCACGCAAGCCAUUAAUGUAUUCCAUAGAGCAUUUGUUCACGUUGUACAUCCAUGGUCGAUCCAUCUACAAAGUAUUACCGAACCAAAAAUAUUCUGAUCAUCCAUAGAAUUAUACAUGAAACAUAACAAACAUGAUAUAAAUUUCACUAAACUUAAAUGUUGCUGAAAGUUUAGAUAGAAAUACACAAAAUUAAAUUUCAGACCCAAACAACAUGAUACACUACGACAAACUCAAAUGUUGCUGAAAAUUUAGAUAGAAAUACACAAAUUUAAAUUUUAGACCCAAACAAUGAUACACUACGACAAAUCAUCCACUGAGUAUUAUUCCCUCG